UACGUAGGGAGCAAGCGUUGUCCGGAAUCAUUGGGCGUAAAGCGCGCGUAGGUGGCCUCGUAAGUCCGCUGUGAAAGUCAAAGGCUCAACCUUUGAAAGCCGGUGGAUACUGUGGGGCUAGAGUACGGAAGAGGCGAGUGGAAUUCCUGGUGUAGCGGUGGAAUGCGCAGAUAUCAGGAGGAACACCAAUAGCGAAGGCAGCUCGCUGGGACGUUACUGACGCUGAGGCGCGAAAGCGUGGGGAGCAAACAGG
rnacentral:rRNA from 1 species